rnacentral:rRNA from 1 species
AUUGAACGCUGGCGGCAUGCCUUACACAUGCAAGUCGAACGGUAACGCGGGGCAACCUGGCGACGAGUGGCGAACGGGUGAGUAAUGCAUCGGAACGUGCCCAGUAGUGGGGGAUAGCCCGGCGAAAGCCGGAUUAAUACCGCAUACGACCUACGGGUGAAAGCGGGGGACCGUAAGGCCUCGCGCUAUUGGAGCGGCCGAUGUCAGAUUAGGUCGUUGGUGGGGUAAAAGCCUACCAAGCCGACGAUCAGUAGCUGGUCUGAGAGGACGACCAGCCACACUGGGACUGAGACACGGCCCAGACUCCUACGGGAGGCAGCAGUGGGGAAUUUUGGACAAUGGGGGCAACCCUGAUCCAGCCAUGCCGCGUGCGGGAAGAAGGCCUUCGGGUUGUAAACCGCUUUUGUCAGGGAAGAAACGCUCUGGGCUAAUACCCCGGGGUAAUGACGGUACCUGAAGAAUAAGCACCGGCUAACUACGUGCCAGCCGCCGCCGUAAUAC